UAUCUCUGUAGAGUCUGCAUAUCAAUAAGCGGAGGAAAAGAAACUAACAAGGAUUCCCUUAGUAACGGCGAGUGAAGCGGGAAGAGCUCAAAUUUGAAAUCUUCAAGGUUCUACCUUGACGAAUUGUAGUUUAAAGAAGUGUUUUCUGUUAGAUGAGUAGCAAAAGUUCCUUGGAAUGGGACAUCAUAGAGGGUGAGAAUCCCGUAUUUGACCAUUACUUCCAGCGUUGUGAUACACUUUCAAAGAGUCGGAUUGUUUGGGAAUGCAGUCCAAAAUGGGUGGUAAAUUUCAUCUAAAGCUAAAUAUUGGCGAGAGACCGAUAGCGAACAAGUACCGUGAGGGAAAGAUGAAAAGAACUUUGAAAAGAGAGUUAAACAGUACGUGAAAUUGUCAAAAGGGAAGCGUUUGACACCAGUGUUGUUUUUCCGAAAAUCAAUUACGAAUGGCUUGAUUCUGUGUUGUAUUGACCUUAUCAGCUUUCUGCACUUUUUUCGAGUCUUUCUUAAUGCACUUUUCGGUUAACAAGUCAACAUCAAUUUCUUUUGUUGUAAAAGAGUAUUCGGAAGGUGGCUUUCUUUUCGGAGAAAGUGUUUAUAGCCCUAUACUUCUACAAUCGGAGAGAUUGAGGUCUGCAGCGUAGAUCCUUCGGGGUUAGAUACACUUUGUGCUAAGUUAGUAGCUUUUCAUAGACAACUUGUUGACUAUGUUUAGUCAUGCGGCUUACUCGCUUGUGCUAUUUUACCUACGCUUAGGAUGUUGAAGAUGUAGCACAUCAU
rnacentral:rRNA from 1 species